UACGAAGGGGGCUAGCGUUGUUCGGAAUUACUGGGCGUAAAGCGUGCGCAGGCGGUUUGGUAAGACAGAUGUGAAAUCCCCGGGCUUAACCUGGGAAUUGCAUUUGUGACUGCCCGGCUAGAGUGUGUCAGAGGGGGGUAGAAUUCCACGUGUAGCAGUGAAAUGCGUAGAGAUGUGGAGGAAUACCGAUGGCGAAGGCAGCCCCCUGGGAUAACACUGACGCUCAUGCACGAAAGCGUGGGGAGCAAACAGG
rnacentral:rRNA from 1 species